CCUACGGGAGGCAGCAGUGGGGAAUUUUCCGCAAUGGGCGAAAGCCUGACGGAGCAAGACCGCGUGAGGGAUGACGGCCUAAUGGUUGUAAACCUCUUUUAUUCGGGAAGAUGAUGACGGUACCGGAUGAAUCAGCCUCGGCUAACUCCGUGCCAGCAGCCGCGGUAAUACGGAGGAGGCAAGCGUUAUCCGGAAUUAUUGGGCGUAAAGCGUCCGUAGGUGGUUUUACAAGUCAGCUGUUAAAGCGUGAGGCUUAACCUCAUACAGGCGGUUGAAACUGUAGGACUAGAGUUUGGUAGGGGUUGCGGGAAUUCCCAGUGUAGCGGUGAAAUGCGUAGAUAUUGGGAAGAACACCGGUGGCGAAAGCGCGCGACUGGACCUGAACUGACACUGAGGGACGAAAGCUAGGGGAGCGAAAGGGAUUAGAUACCCCAGUAGUC
rnacentral:rRNA from 1 species